GAAUGGAGGAAGAGCUGUGUGUGCAGCCCUGAGCUGUGUAUGUGUGUGGUAAAUAAUAACAACUUGCUAUUCUGUUAUUGCAGCAAGCCCAUUAAUGCACUUUGACGGACCUGUGUGAACAGAAUGUCACGAAAUAUCAUUUCAGUAGCCAUUUGUUUUGGUGAACCACCUUACAUAUCCUCUCAGUUUCCCCUCACAAGAACCCUAAGAUGUAGUUCAGACAAAUCUCUGGUGCGGCUGCACUUGGAAUACUGUGUACAGUUCUAGUUGCCUCAUCUCAGAGAGGAUAUUGCAGAUCUGGAAAAGGUUCAGAAAAGGGGACGUCACAUGACCCAGUGGUUGGGCAACUCUCUAUUGAAGAAAGGUUACAACAAAAGGCUUUUUAGUGUAGAAAAAUGGUAAGGUUGGGGAAACUGGUCAGAGAUGUACUUAAUUAUUGGAAAAGUCAUACCCUCCAACAUUUCUCCAAUGAAACAAGGGAUGUCCUAUUCCAUGAUCAUAAAUAUAAUGGUUGCCUCAGCCACUCUGGGCAGCUUCCAACAUAUAUAAAAAUAUAAUAAAACAUUAAACAUUAAAAAAACCCCUUCCCUAUACAGGGCUGCAGUUAGAACUGGAUAUGGAACAACUGAUUGGUUCAAAAUUGGGAAAGGAGUACGACAAGGCUGUAUAUUGUCUCCUUGCUUAUUUAACUUAUAUGCAGAAUUCAUCAUGCGAAAGGCUGGGCUGGAUGAAUCCCUAGCCGGAAUUAAGAUUGCCGGAAGAAAUAUCAACAACCUCAGAUAUGCAGAUGACACAACAUUGAUGGCAGAAAGUGAGGAGGAAUUAAAGAACCUUUUAAUGAGGGUGAAAGAGGAGAGUGCAAAAUAUGGUCUGAAGCUCAACAUCAAAAAAACAAAGAUCAUGGCCAAUGGUCCCAUCACCUCCUGGCAAAUAGAAGGGGAAGAAAUGGACGCAGGGAGAGAUUUUACUUUCUUGGGCUCCAUGAUCACUGCAGAUGGUAACAGCAGCCACGAAAUUAAGACGCCUGCUUCUUGGGAGAAAAGCAAUGACAAACCUAGACAGCAUCUUAAAACAUAGAAACAUCACCUUGCCAACAAAGGUCCGUAUAGUUAAAGCUAUGGUUUUCCCAGUAGUGAUGUAUGGAAGUGAGAGCUGGACCAUAAAGAAGGCUGAUCGCCAAAGAAUUGAUGCUUUUGAAUUAUGGUGCUGGAGGAGACUCUUGAGAGUCCCAUGGACUGCAAGAAGAUCAAACCUAUCCAUUCUUAAAGAAAUCAGCCCUGAGUGCUCACUGGAAGGACAGAUCCUGAAGCUGAGACUCCAAUACUUUGGCCACCUCAUGAGAAGAGAAGACUCCCUGGAAAAGACCCUGAUGUUGGGAAAGAUGGAGGGCACAAGGAGAAGGGGACAAUAGAGGACGAGAUGGUUGGAUAGUGUUCUCGAAGCUACCAGCAUGAGUUUGACUAAACUGCGGGAGGCAGUGGAAGACAGAAGUGCCUGGUGUGCUCUGGUCCAUGGGGUCACGAAGAGUCGGACACGACUAAACGACUAAACAACAACAUACAGGGCUGCCUUCAGAUGCCUUCUAAAUAUUUUAUAGUUAUUUAUCUCCCUGGCUCAGGGUAGCAUAACUCCAUACCCUCCAACAUUUCCCCAACAUUUUCCUAAGGAAAAGUGGGACAGUCCAGGAUCAAAUCAGAAACCAGGGUGACUUCUGUAAAUUUGGGACUGUCCCUGGAAAUAGGGACACUUGGAGUGUCUGGAAAGUGGUUAGGCCUGUCUCAUAAUACUACAACUCGGGGACAUUCAAUGAAGCUCAAUGUUGGAAGAGUCAGGUGAGACAAAAGAAAGCACUUCUUCACACUGCUCAUAGUUAAACAACAGAACUCACUUCCAUGGGAUGCAGUGAUGUCCAUCAACUUGGAUGGCUUUAAAGGAGACCUCGACCAAAGGCCAUUGAUGGCUGCUACCCACUGUGCUUAUGUUCUGCUUCCACCGUAAUAAACAGUCUACCUCUGUUUACCAUUUGCUGGGAAACACAAGUGUGGCAAGUGUUGUGCUGCUACGCUUUUCCAAGGCGGUAGUUCCAUUGUGGUAGAACAGGAUGCUGGACUAAAUGGGCCCUUGGCCUGAUCCUGGGCUCUUCUUAUGUUCUUAAGUUUAACUUGCGUCCCACAACACAUCUAGUCCAUGAACCAGAUAUAGUGACCUACCAGGUGGUUUGAAAACCCCUUGUUUCAGCAGUCCUGGGCAGUCAGCAAAAAUGAGAGGGCUCAGGAGCCCUUGGUAGGCCAUUUGUACAUGGGUGGUGGGCUAUAUUUGGCUUUCUGGGUCACUAGAUGAGAAAACGUGGUAGAUUUCAUCAUUAUUAUGCACCAUCCUUCUCCCCCAUCAUCCAGUUCCACUGGAUACAAUUUAGAUUUUAUCCAGACAAGUAACAUUACAAAUUACUUGUUUUAAACUGAACGAAAUACCAAGGUAUAUUUUAAACAAUUUAAUCAGUUCUUGAGGAAAGGAAAGAAGGAUAGAUCUCACCAGACUGACUCCCUGUUGUUUUCUGAUACUUUGGAGAGCCAUAAAAUGGAACUCCUUUUUCACAGGCCUCAUCUGGAGUCGAAAAGCAAAAGCGCUCCAGUGAGGAUGAAAGCUCUGAGGAAUUUUUGUUUUCCAACUCUGCCUGUCUCCUCACUCUCUCCCGCCUCCCUCCCGACCAGCCUGUCUUGGCCACCAUUGCAGCAAUUUUUGAGAACUUAUCAGUAAUAAACAGACUCCUGAUAGGAAGCUAAAGGCUAGCAGGAAGUAAAAAUCCUCUCUCUUAAUUGCAGCCCCAAAUACAUCUGAAGUAAAAUUAAUCAACAAAGACAUUACUCUUCAUUAGCUGGGACUCCUUUCUCCGAGUCUUUGUUUUUUCAUUUAUAUCUUCUUCCAUCCCAGGCUUUUAUCGCCAGUACACUUUGAUAAAAGUCCUGUUUAGCUGUGUGACAUUGCAAAAAGGGUUUCUACACACAAGAACAUUCUCACCCUCUCCAAAGUAUUCAAUUUUUGUCUCACUUCUCCUGAAGAAUUCCUGCCCCGGGGGUAUUUUUACUCUACUUGAGUGUUACAAGCCUACAUUAAUACAUUUAUCCCAACUAAAUUUUUAAUAAAAAUUGAAUCAGUUUAGAAGGCACCUAAUCUCUCCCACCCUUCCCUAGAAUAAGCUAAGACAUAGGGCUGAGGAGAAGGGCAUAACUUAGAAGCUAGAUGCAAUGUUCUUAUUGAUCAACAUCAUGUUACACCUCUUGUGAAUGAGUCUGAAGAUCUUCAACCAACUUAGAUGUUGAUUUUGAUAAUUCCUUGCAAGUAUUUUGUUUGGCUUCAGUGGUUAUGGCCAAGAUCUCAAGAAAGGGCAUGUGCACAUACAAUAUAAUGAUGUGCGUAGCAAGAGUAUUGCUUCCUGUUUUGGACCAAAAUAAUAAUAAUCCGAUUGCUGAAGAGGCAAGCCACUUUUCAAACUAAGCUGCAGCUUAUCUGUUUGACUGUGGAAAGUACUAUAGCAAAAACCAAAACAACCUCCCCCCUGCAAUCCAAACAGAAAACACCAACUUUAUAUACCACAGUUCAAUGAUUAACAGAUUUCCAUGUGUCAUCUCAAUAAAUGGAAGAGGUGUAUAUCCAAAAACAGAUGUGAGAUGCUGUAAAACAGGCAUGGCCAAACUUGGCCCUCCAGCUGUUUUGGGACUACAACUCCCAUCAUCCCUAGCUAACAGGACCAGUGGUCAGGGAUGGUGGGAAUUGUAGUCCCAAAACAGCUGGAGCGCCAAGUUUGGCCAUGCCUGCUGUAAAAGAUGUCAAUAAUCUUCACAAUAUUUUUGCAAGGUAGGCCAGUAGUAUUACUAUUUACAUUCUGAAGAUGUGUGACUGAAGCAACAAAAAGCACUUUACUGUCCAUGUCCCCAAGUCUGAAAAUCUGGAGCUUGGAUGGUGCUGUUGCUUCAGUCAUAAAGCUGGUCACACUGGGAGCUUACACAGGAGCUGGACCAGGCUCUCUACCUUCCUAGCUCUCAUUCAGGCCCAAGGUGUUCCCAUGCCGUCCCUCAUCUCCUGAGUAGUCUCCUGGGAGCAGUGACCACUUGGGCAGGAGCUCUGAAGCAUCUCAGCUGUGUGCCUGGGAGAGACGAGAGCCACUCAGGAAGCCAGGCUAGUGGUGUGAGGAUUGUCAAGUUCAGAUGACUGGGUCUCUUAGAAAUAAGAAGCUUUAGUGAGGCUAUGGUUAUUCAAGGAAGAGGUUUGCUUUGGGCUCCUUCCCUUGCAUGUAGACCAGUGUUCUUCCUUUCAGAAUUCUAAGUCUUGAGAUGGACUCUUCUAGCUUUAGGCCAGAACGUUCUGAAAUCCUGCUCUGGAUCAAGGAAUGGCUCUGCCAUAGACAUUACAGGGGUGUCCUGUCCUGGGGCAGAGGUGUCCAGAUCCGAUGGCUUCUCAGGAUCAUUGGCAACGGACUCAGUCCAGUAUACCUGAAGGAGCGUCUCUACCCGGACACUGAGGUCCAGCGCUGAGGGCCUUCUGGCAGUUCCCUCGCUGUGAGAAGCCAAGUUACAGAGAACCAGGCAGAGGGCCUUCUCGGUAGUGGCACCCGCCCUGUGGAACGCCCUCCCACCAGAUGUCAAAGAGAAAAACAACUACCAGACUUUUAGAAGACAUCUGAAGGCAGCCCUGUUUAGGGAAGCUUUUAAUGUUUAAUAGACUAUUGCAUUUUAAUAUUCUGUUGAAAGCUGCCCAGAGUGGCUGGGGAAGCCAAGCCAGAUGGGCGGGGUAUAAAUAAUAAAUUAUUAUUAUUAUUAUCCACUGGAAGGUCCUACUCCCCUUGCUCCUCAUUUGAGGAGACCUCAGGUUCAGAGGCUGAGAAGGACUGAACUAUGAUAUCUCCUGAGUUUAGAGCUGAGAUGCGGCUACAGGCCCACAGCUCCCUCUUAACCUCUUUGCCCAGCUGCCAAAAAGCAAGCAAACAUGCCAAGCUGACUUCUGGGGGUUCAGGCCCCUCAUAGCAACUCUGCACCUUAGUCCCAGCCUGACGGGCUCUUCCACACAACUGGGCUAAAACUGAUCCAGGACUCUUGAUGCUCACGCACAGAUCUCCUGGCACACCUCAGCAGUCUAUUUUGAUAGAGAGAAAGACGAGAGCAGAAGGUCUAAUUCUGAGCGUGCCCAGAUGGUGGGUGACGAGAGGGAGGAGCUGCCAAAGAAGGAGGCAGCCAAUGGUAUUCCUUCCCACAGGGGCGGGGUGACUCAGGCCUUGGGGGCCAAGUGCAGCCCUUCAAUGCUCUCUCUCUGGCUUUCAGGACUCUCCUUGCACCUCCUUCUGCUGAUCUCCCAGAACCAGAAGAGGUAUGAAGAAGGUGGAGCAAAGACAGGCAUGGCGACAGAGUCUCAGAUCUGGGGGAGAAGGAAGCUUAGGCAACUGUGGGAAAGCGGGGGCCUUCAGUCCCCACAACUGCUGCAUAGAAGCAUGAUCUACAGUACUGCUGGGGUCAGCAAACUUUUUCAGCAGGGGGCCGGUCCACUGUCCCUCAGACCUUGUGGGUGGCCAGACUAUAUAAUUUUUUUUGGGGGGGGGGAAUGAACAAAUUCCUAUGCCCCACAAAUAACCCAGAGAUUCAUUUUACAUAAAAGGACACAUCCUACUCAUAUAAAAACACUCUGAUUCCCGGACUGUCCGCGGGCCGGAUUGAGAAGGCAAUUGGGCCAGAUCCGGCCCCCAGGCCUUAGUUUGCCUACUCAUGAUCUACUGUGAAAGGUUGCUGUGCUUAUUAGGCCUGGCUUCCUGAGUCAGCCUGAAAUAAAGAGUUCACUGACCUGCUUCUGAGACCCGCUCCUGACACUAGACUACUCUGCAAAGGUAAAAUGUACAUUAGUUGCGCCAACCACUUUUGUUCUUACCCUGCCCAACACUGGCAUGUGGUCUGAAGAAGGUUGAAAAUGCAAAAAAAUAGUGUGGAGCACUGGAUUUAGGGCGCUGCGGUCUGUACCCCACCCCACAGGACACUGAGCUGAGGGGGCAGAAAAUCAAGAAGAUCCAUAACUGAGCAGAUCCUUGAGGGGGGCCAAAUUUUGGCCUCACACGGAGUGUCGUAAUACGAAAGAUUAAAAAUCCGCCCCUGUGUGAUGUCCUGUAACUGCUGCUCCUCCACCAUCCUGGCUUAAUUCUGGCCUCAUUGGACAUAUCAGAGGCACCUGUUGAUGCAUCUGGGGAUAAAAAGUCCCACAAGUCAUUAGCAACUCCCCAAAAUGGAGCUCAAAUGUAUCCCUGAAUGUCGCAAGUGAACUUGCCCUUUAACUUUGACUUAAAGUCAACCAUAAAUAUCUAUUGUGUCUUCACAACAUCAGAGCUAAAGGUGGCCUCCCAGCCUGUAUUAACUAUCCAAGGAAUGAUUCCUGCCUCUUUCCUGGCCAUUUGUUGUUCCUUUAAACCAGCAAAUCUUUUUUUUCUUCCAGGAACAAAAGUGCCAAAAUUGCUACUUUCUGAGGGACAGCGACUAUAGGGCCAUCUCCCUCUUAAAUUAGCAGAUUGGCGCUGGCUUCAGCCAAGGCUUUUAUCGGCUCCCUGUGUUCACCGAGGCCAGAUGAUUCCAAGGCAGCCGCUUAGAGAUUUAGAGGGCUGAUGUGACAGGGGCCCUUUGAUUCUAGCAUUCCAGCCUCCUCCUUGGAGGCCGUGUUUACAUAAACCUGAGAAAAACUGCCACUGCUGCUCAUCUCUCUCGUUUUUCAACCUUAAUGGUAAUUACAUUCCACGCAUGACAGGAGAUUUAGCAUUGCAUUCAGGACGGGGGUGGGAGGAGUUGUAAUAUUAUCUUUGACGCGCCAUUGCUGCGUGUUAGGUCACAAUUAUGCCUGCCCACCUUGUGACCCACCAGAAGUAGCACAUACCAGAAACCUCCUGUGACCAAAACUUACCAUUAGCUGGUCUGUAAUAUGAAUUUUGCCAGUUUGCAAUUUUAGUAAUGAGCCCUGGCUCAGAUGCGCCAAAAUUCUAAUGUUUGCAAUUAAAAAUAGGAUUAAAAUGGUAAAGGACUCCUGACAGUUAAGUCCAGUCGCAGACGACUCUGGGGUUGCGAUGCUCAUCUCGCUUUACAGGCCGAGGGAGCCAGCGUUUGUCCGCAGACAGUUUUUCCAGGUCAUGUGGCCAGCAUGACUAAGCCGCUUCUGGCGUAACGGAACACUGAAACCAGAGCAGCGCAUGGAAAUGCUGUUUAUCUUCCUGCUGGAGCGGUACCUAUUUAUAUACUUGCACUUCGUGCUUUCAAACUGCUAGGUUGGCAGAAGCAGGGACCGAGCAAUGGGAGCUCACCCCAUCGUGGGGAUUCGAACCGCCAAUCUUCUGAUCGGCAAGCCCAAGAGGCUCAGUGGUUUAGACCACAGUGCCACCCGUGUCCCAGCAAAAAAGCAAAAGAAAAAAAGGAUUAUUGUAUGUUAAUUUCUUUCUUUUUCCCCAUUAUUUUUUAUCUCCUAUAUUGUCUGGCAGAACUAAGCAGCUGGAGUCGGGUGAUAGCUGUCAUCUUUGCAUGCCUUCAGAUGUUGCUAACAUCCAUUCCUCCAUGCCAAUCAAAACACUCUGUGAAACACAUGGGCAAAUAAGGCUCAUGGCACUGAACAUCCCACAUUCACCCUGGCAGCAGCAAAAGGAGUGGGUGAUGCAUUUAUUGGAGGCUGGAUCUGUUGUCCUGGUCAGUGACAGACCUUGGAGUUUCAAAUUUCAGCAGUGCCCCGGGCGACACCAAAAUUGAGUGCCCCCACCUGUCACACUCCAUUCUAAAGUUUGUGGCAUCCCUUGCAGCGCCCUGAGACUCUGUGCUCAAAUUUAUUUAUGCAACUACAGCAGCAAGGACUCUUUUAGCCCCAAAAUGGAAACAACAGGAAUUACCAACAAUUGAAGAGUGGCAGAAGAAGAUGAUGGAAUAUACAGAAUUGGCAAAGCUGACUGGGAAAAUCCGAAAGCAGCGUGAUCAAGCUUUCCAAAAAGACGGGGGUAAAUUUGUACAAUAUUUGAAGGACAAUUGCAAACAUUUAACAACCCUAACAGGACUCAUUUAAAAAUGACUAUGUAAUGACUAUGACUUAUACCUUCUUAUAUUUAUUUAAAAAUUUGACAGUUGAAUUGAAGAAAGAUAAGCAGGAAAAGAUACAAAAGCUAUGACAUAGAAAGGCAAUAUGGUAACCAUGAGGCG